UACGUAGGGUGCAAGCGUUAAUCGGAAUUACUGGGCGUAAAGCGUGCGCAGGCGGUUUUGUAAGUCAGUUGUGGAAUCCCCGGGCUCAACCUGGGAACUGCAUCUGUGACUGCAUAGCUAGAGUACGGUAGAGGGGGAUGGAAUUCCGCGUGUAGCAGUGAAAUGCGUAGAUAUGCGGAGGAACACCGAUGGCGAAGGCAAUCCCCUGGACCUGUACUGACGCUCAUGCACGAAAGCGUGGGGAGCAAACAGG
rnacentral:rRNA from 1 species